UUACGGCCAUAUCACGUUGAAAUGCUGAUUGCCGUACGAUCACUGAAGUUAAGAAAAGUCGAGCCUGCUCAGUACCUAGAUGGGUGACUGCUUGGGAAUACUCGGGGC